rnacentral:tRNA from 1 species
GGAGCCGUGGUGUAGUCGGUUAACACGCCGGCCUGUCACGCCGGAGAUCGCGGGUUCGAGUCCCGUCGGUUCCGCCA